rnacentral:rRNA from 1 species
AUUGAACGCUGGCGGCAUGCCUUACACAUGCAAGUCGAACGGCAGCACGGGUGCUUGCACCUGGUGGCGAGUGGCGAACGGGUGAGUAAUACAUCGGAACAUGUCCUGUAGUGGGGGAUAGCCCGGCGAAAGCCGGAUUAAUACCGCAUACGAUCCACGGAUGAAAGCGGGGGACCUUCGGGCCUCGCGCUAUAGGGUUGGCCGAUGGCUGAUUAGCUAGUUGGUGGGGUAAAGGCCUACCAAGGCGACGAUCAGUAGCUGGUCUGAGAGGACGACCAGCCACACUGGGACUGAGACACGGCCCAGACUCCUACGGGAGGCAGCAGUGGGGAAUUUUGGACAAUGGGCGAAAGCCUGAUCCAGCAAUGCCGCGUGUGUGAAGAAGGCCUUCGGGUUGUAAAGCACUUUUGUCCGGAAAGAAAUCCUUGACUCUAAUACAGUCGGGGGAUGACGGUACCGGAAGAAUAAGCACCGGCUAACAACGUG